rnacentral:rRNA from 1 species
GGGUGCGAUCAUGCCAGCACUAAUGCACUGGAUCCCAUCAGAACUCCGCAGUUAAGCGUGCUUUGGCGAGAGUAGCAAUAGGAUGGGUGACCUCUUUGGAUGUCCUCAUGUUGCACACC